rnacentral:rRNA from 1 species
CGGAGGGAUCAUUAAAGAGUUCUAUAACUCCCAAACCCAUGUGAACAUACCUAACGUUGCCUCGGCAGGUCGCACCUACCUUGUAGCACCCUACCCUGUAGGGCCUACCCGGGAGGUGCGGGUAAGCCUGCCGGCGGCCCACCAAACUCUGUUUGAUAUUGAAUUCUGAACCUAUAACUAAAUAAGUUAAAACUUUCAACAACGGAUCUCUUGGUUCUGGCAUCGAUGAAGAACGCAGCGAAAUGCGAUAAGUAAUGUGAAUUGCAGAAUUCAGUGAAUCAUCGAAUCUUUGAACGCAUAUUGCGCCCAUUAGUAUUCUAGUGGGCAGGACCGUUCGAGCGUCAUUUCAACCCUUAAGCCUUCGUUGCUUAGUGUUGGGAGCCUACGGCAACGUAGCUCCUCAAAGUUAGUGGCGGAGUUGGUUCACACUCUAGACGUAGUAAUUUUUUAUCUCGCCUAUUAGUUGGACUAAUCCCCUGCCGUAAAACCCCUAAUUUAUCAAGGUUGACCUCGAAUCGGUUCAGACAAACUCGCUAAAUUGAAGCAUCUUAGUCAGCGAAGGAAAAGAAACCAACAGGGAUUGCCCUAGUAACGGCGAGUGAAGCGGCAACAGCUCAAAUUUGAAAUCUGGCCCUCGGGUCCGAGUUG